rnacentral:rRNA from 1 species
CCUACGGGAGGCUGCAGUGGGGAAUAUUGGACAAUGGGCGAAAGCCUGACCCAGCAACGCCGCGUGAAGGAAGAAGGCUUUCGGGAUGUAAACCUCUUUUAGCAGGGACGAAGAAGGUGACACUUGAUGAAGAAUAAGCGACGGCUAACUACGUGCCAGCAGCCGCGGUAAUACGUAGGGGGCAAGCGUUAUCCGGAUUUGCUGGGUGUAAGGGGCGAGUAGGCGGGACUGCAAGUCAGAUGUGAAAACCACGGGCUCAACCUGUGAACUGCAUUUGAAACUGUAAUGCUUGAGUACUGGAGAGGCAGGCGGAAUUCCUGGUGUAGCGGUGAAAUGCGUAGAUAUUAGGAGGAACACCGGUGGCGAAGGCGGUCUACUGGACUGCAACUGACGCUGAGGCUCGAAAGCGUGGGGAGCAAACAGGAUUAGAUACCCGGGUAGUC